rnacentral:rRNA from 1 species
GACGAACGCUGGCGGCGUGCUUAACACAUGCAAGUCGAACGGAAAGGCCCUGCUUUUGUGGGGUGCUCGAGUGGCGAACGGGUGAGUAACACGUGAGUAACCUGCCCUUGACUUUGGGAUAACUUCAGGAAACUGGGGCUAAUACCGGAUAGGAGCUCCUGCUGCAUGGUGGGGGUUGGAAAGUUUCGGCGGUUGGGGAUGGACUCGCGGCUUAUCAGCUUGUUGGUGGGGUAGUGGCUUACCAAGGCUUUGACGGGUAGCCGGCCUGAGAGGGUGACCGGCCACACUGGGACUGAGAUACGGCCCAGACUCUUACGGGAGGCAGCAGUGGGGAAUAUUGCACAAUGGGCGGAAGCCUGAUGCAGCAACGCCGCGUGCGGGAUGACGGCCUUCGGGUUGUAAACCGCUUUCGCCUGUGACGAAGCGUGAGUGACGGUAAUGGGUAAAGAAGCACCGGCUAACUACGUG